AUUGAACGCUGGCGGCAUGCUUUACACAUGCAAGUCGAACGGUAACAGGCCUUCGGGUGCUGACGAGUGGCGAACGGGUGAGUAAUGCAUCGGAACGUACCCAGAGGUGGGGGAUAACGCAGCGAAAGCUGUGCUAAUACCGCAUGUGAUCUGAGGAUGAAAGCGGGGGACCGAGCAGCAAUGUUUGGCCUCGCGCCUUUGGAGCGGCCGAUGUCGGAUUAGCUAGUUGGUGGGGUAAAGGCCUACCAAGGCGACGAUCCGUAGCUGGUCUGAGAGGACGAACAGCCACACUGGGACUGGGCAACGGCCCAGACUCCUACGGGAGGCAGCAGUGGGGAAUUUUGGACAAUGGGCGCAAGCCUGAUCCAGCAAUGCCGCGUGCGGGAAGAAGGCCUUCGGGUUGUAAACCGCUUUUGGCAGGAACGAAACGGUGUCCGCUAAUACCGGGCGCUAAUGACGGUACCUGCAGAAUAAGCACCGGCUAACUACGUG
rnacentral:rRNA from 1 species